rnacentral:lncRNA from 1 species
GGGGGAGAGCACCCCCAUUUAUCCAGCUAAGUGUUCUACUCAUGUUUAUACUUUACUCAAAUAAUAAAAAGAUGCAUAAUCAUAAAAACCUAAAUAAAGAUUUUGUGCUUUAUAUAUAUCUUUGCUUAGUUUGCUAAAUAAAUAAAUAAAUAAAAUUUUCUAUGAACCCUCGUGAUAAGCUCUCAUAUGGAAAUGAUGAAUAGUUGCUCUGCCAUAACUAGUUCUCAAAAUUGAGAUCUCUCUCAAGUUUAGGCAUGACUGUUAUUAAUUAAGAUUUGCUCUAAACCUGAACUUGUGGGAAGAGUACUUGAUCUAAUGUCUAAGUUGUUAACGGAUAUGAUAUGGGAAGGUUGAGCUGCUGUUUAUCUGUUUCUAGAGAUGCUAGAAUUCUGGAGAAUUUUAUCUUUGAAAAUCUUUAAAAUAUCACAUGAUGAGUUCUUGUAUGAUGAGAGUUUAAAAUCCUACCACAGCCAUAUAUACAAGCUUAUUAGACUAUGAACCAUUCAUUUACUUUUUACUGCUUAUGAGCAUUGAGUGUGGUCAAGCUGUGUAGACCCUUAGGAGCUUGUCAUGUGGUUAAAUCAAGAUUCACUUGCACGUUCACUCACACAUGCUGCUUCUACUCCGGAAGUACGCAUCCACAUAUAUCCACCCAUUUGCAUCUCCAGAACCACCCAAAAAUAUUCUACUCCUAAUCCGGGAGAGAAUAGCCAAAAAUAUUCUCCUAUUUCUGUUUUCCCCUGUGAAAUAAAUGCUCAAGUUAUUUCGGUUACUACCACUUGCUACAUUAUUUAAAGAGGUGAGUGCUCUAAAAAAAAGAAGAAGAUACAAGGACAUAAAAAGGGGCAAGUUCCCGGAACCUCGAAAGAAAAGAAAAAGUAAGACGAGAGGUAAAAAUGGACAAGUGUCCGACAGUAGAAUUAGGGGUACAAGAUACUCACCUGAGAGAAAAGAAAAAGAAAAUAUAGAGCAUCUCAUUCUCCUCAAAAAGUUUCAAAAGAGCAAGAAAGGUAUGUAUCUCUCAAAAGAGCACAAGUAGAAUUAGACUUUCACCAUUAUUUUCACCAUUAUCACCAUUCAUUCGCCACACAUGCACAUCUUGAUUUGACUUAUUGACUUGUUCUUCUGGAUCCAUGAUUUGACUAUGCAAUAAUGUCUUGUAAGUAUGUAUUAGCUGUCUCCCACCUAUGAGCUCCAGAUAUCAAAACCUUAUUAGAGUAGGGUGAGAGAGAAGGCAAUGCCAUUAUGCCUCAUACCAAAAAUAUCACAUACUUUGAGAGAAGGCAUACACCAUUACUGCCUUGGUAAGGAUCCAGAAAUACCACAAAAGAGAGACUAGAGAGAGUCAUACAAGGAAUCUCUGAGUUUUAUUUGAAAAUAUGCAAAAACUCCAGAGCUAUAGUUAAUCGAAGAACAAGAGACAUGGUGCUUGACUAGACCGUUCUAUCUUUUAACUGCUCAAGACAUAAGUGACAAUUGCAAGCCCCAUGGUGGAAGGUAAUAUGAGUAAGUUUAAAUCUUAACAGUUUACCCUAACCCAGAGAUGAGAUCUUGUUUGAACGCAUGUAUAUCUUUUAGGCAUGAAACCACUGCAGAAACUCUUGAGUUCAUCUUUGCUCAGGGACGAGCAAAGGUUAAGCUUGGGGGAGCUUGUUGACGGUCCUUAAUGCUCACAUUUAACCAUCAACUAAUCAUGGAAAAGGACCCAAAUGCAACCAACACCCAGACUAAGGGUUUUAUCUGACAGAAUUCCAUGAGUUUUGGUGUUUGUCUAUUUCUACAGGGGGUUAUCAGGAAAUACGAAGGAAAGGCCCACACGUCGGGUUUACAUAGAGAUAUUAACGUGCCGCGCAAUUUUCUAUCAUCAAGAAGACUCCAAAAGCCACGGGAACGAAGUGGAGGCAGAACGGGGCCUGGCCCAGGGCGCCCGCCCUAGAGACCAGGGCGCUCGCCCUCCUCUGGUGCCCAAUCAAAGUCCGCCUCGCGGAUUAUGCUCCACCGACCUAAUGGAUCAAGGAUAACCGUUCAAUCAAUGUCGGUUUGAUCCGACGGUCCAGAUUCACUUGAGGGGACUAUAUAAGCAGACCCCCUGGCCCCUGGAGAACAUACCUCUUCUAUAGAAUCAAAGUUAGGGUUUCAAUUCUUCAUCCAAGUAGAGAGGAUCCCUCUAGUUCAUCUAGUUCUAGUUCUAGUUUCUCUAGUUCUAGUUCUAGUUAGUUCUAGUUGUAAUCUAGAAAAUAGGGAGAGAGAAGAGGAGAGCGAAGGAGGAGCCGGGUCUAUCGGAUCUUCCUCAAGAUUAUACUUUUGCUACAACUGGUUCGUUCUUCAUCGUUCUCCAAGUUCUUCAAUUCAUAAUUCCUGAGUUCUUUAAUUACUUUUAUUUACAUUCAAGUUAUUUAUUGGAUUCCCACUUGCAUCAAGUGCUCUAGUCUUUAUAACGCUAGAGUAUUAAUUAAUAGAUUAGACGUGGUGUUUAGUCUUGCAAUUACCUGGAAUUGCACCCAAUCCUGUGGAUUGUUGUGGUAGCCCUAGGGUAGUGACAGCCCUAACGGUCGACGUAUUCCACCUCAUUCGGAUCGGUGUUUGUAGGACCGUAGUCAGAGCUUCCUAGCCCCCUUCUCAUCUCUUUCUGUGGUUAGUGUUCUGAUGUCCCAAAAUAAAUAAUCUUUGAAGUAAUUCUUGAUUCUUAGAUCAACUAGAGAACUCUAAGGAAACUUCCUCUCUUCCCACCAAAAAUAAUUAUAUAGUUAUCCUUGGGCGAUCUUGAAUCUUAAUUAGUACACUCAAGUUCCCUAUGGAAAAUCGAUACUUUGGAAUACUCCCGGGUGAAAGCUACAUCGGUAUCCGUGCGCUUGCGGAUUUUUCUGUUUGCGUUUAAAAUACCCAACAAUCAUCUACCUCGAGACCCUUGACCUUCUGGGAAUCGAGAGAGCACAGCUCUAACCCAGCGCGGGAGGCUUCCAUGGGGGUCGUGCCUGGGAAGAAGGCCCUACCUGUGGGUCGAAUCGACCUACGGGUCUGUUUUGGCAUGGAGGCCAACUUCAGAAAGGAGAUGCUCACUUUCUAGGUGGUGGAUUUUCGAGGCACCUACCACACCAUCAUUAGCCGUCCAGGGUACGCCAAGUUCAUGGCUAUCCCCAACUAUACAUACCUCAAGCUGAAGAUGCUCAGACCCAAGGGAGUUAUCACUGUCAGCUCCCCCUACGAGCACGCCUACGAAUGUGACGUCGAGUGCAUCGAAUACGGGGAAGCGGUCGAGAGCACCACCAAGCUCGCCUUAAGACUCGAGGCCCUUGCUGCUGAGGCACCAGAGCCAAAGCGCCAUGCGGGCAGCUUUGAGCCGGUGGAGGGCACCAAGAAGAUCCCGCUCGACCCGACAACUCAGACGGCAAGGUGCUGAUGAUCAGUGCCAACCUCAACCCCAAAUAGAAGGUCGUGCUCGUCGAUUUUCUCAGUACAACGACCAGUCUACUUCAUCAGCGAGGUGCUCUCGGAGACAAAGCUACGAUACCCACAGAUUCAGAAGCUAAUCUAUGUAGUGAUUCUCGCCCGAUGGAAGCUCUAGUACUACUUCCUCGGCCAUCCAGUCACGGUAGUCUCAUUCUUUCCUUUGGGUGAAAUCAUCCAAAACUGAGAGGCCACUGGAAGGAUCGCCAAAUGGUCGGUCGAGCUCAUGGGAGAAGCCCUCACGUACGCGCCCCACAAGGCCAUCAAGUCCCAAGUGCUGGCGGACUUCAUUGCGGAAUGGACCGACACCUAGCUCCCCCCGGCGCAGGUCCAGGCGGAGCUCUAGACGAUGUACUUCGAUGGGUCGCUCAUGAAAACAAGAGUUGGCGUGGGCUUGCUCUUCAUCUUGCCUCUUGGUGUUCACAUGCGGUACGUGAUUCGCAUCCAUUUUGCUGCCUCUAAUAACGUCACAGAGUACGAGGCUCUUGUCAACGGGUUAAAGAUUGCCAUCGAGCUUGGGGUCUGGCGCCUUGACAUUCGGGGUGACUCUCAACUCGACAUUGAUCAAGUCAUGAAGGCCUCGAGCUGCCAUGACUCUAAAUUGGAGGCCUACGGCAAGGAGGUAUGCAAGCUUGAGGACAAGUUUCACGGCCUCGAGCUCAACCACGUCGUCAGACGGUAUAACGAGGCCGCAGACGAGCUCACCAAAAUCGCAUCCACUCGAGGCACCAUCCCGCCAGACGUGUUCUCAAGGGACCUCCUUGAGCCCAGUGUCAGCCUCGGCUCGAGGGCUGGCGUUGAGACACCAACACCCGAGUCGGCCGACACUAUCAAGUCUCUUCUGGCGACCGCAGAGGUGAUGGAAGUCGAUCAAUCAUCUCGACAGCCGAGCCGACCUUUCGACUGGCACACCCCUUUCCUGGACUGCCUGAACCGAGGCGAGGUACCAGAAGACUGGGUGGAGGCCUGCCAUAUAGCUCGACGAGCCAGGUCUUACGUAAUCUACGGGGACGACAGGGAGCUAUGUCGACGGAGCCCGACAGGAAUCCUACAGCGCUAUAUCACCAUGGAGAAAGGUCGAAAGCUUCUCGAGGAUCUACACUUAGGGGUUGUGGCCACCACGUGGCCCCCAGGACCCUUGUUGGCAACACCUUUCGACAAGGUUUCUACUGGCCAACGGCUGUCGCCGAUGCCAUCGAGCUUGUUUGCUCAUGCCAUGGGUGCCAAUUCUACGCCAAGCAAGCCCACCUCCCAGCCCACGCCCUGCAGAUGAUUCCCAUCACUUGGCCAUUUGCAGACUGGGGCCUUAACCUUGUGGGACCACUCCAAAGGACGACGAGUGGGUACACUCACCUGCUAGUGGCCAUUGACAAGUUCUCCAAGUGGAUCGAGGCUCGACCCAUCACCAACAUCUGCUCCGAGCAAGCCGUCCUAUUCUUCAUAGACAUAAUCCAAAGAUUUGGGGUGCCCAAUGUCAUCAUCAUCGACAACGACACGCAGUUCACAGGCAAGAAGUUCCUAGACUUCUGUGAUCGGCAUCACAUCCGUAUGAACUGGCCCGCAGUCGCCCACCCUCGAACUAACGGCUAGGUCGAGCGUGCCAAUGGCAUGAUGUUGCAAGGGCUCAAGCCUAGAAUCUAGAAUUGGCUUAAAAAAAUUUGGCAAAAGGUGGGUCGAGGAGCUUUCUUUGGUCCCGUGGAGCCUAAGGACGACUCCCAGUCGAGCCACGAAAUUUACUCCAUUCUUCAUGGUCUAUGGCUCCGAGGCCGUGCUUCCCACGGACCUCGAGUAUGGGUCACCUCGACUCAAGGCUUACAACGAGCAAACAAACAAGGAAACCUAGGAGAACCUGGUCGAUCAGCUCGAAGAAGCUCGAGACAUGGCCCUCCUCAACUCGACAAGAUACCAACAGAAGCUUUGACGCUACCAUGACAAGCACAUAUGCAAGAGCGACCUACAUGUUGGUGACCUCGUCUUACACCGGCGACAAAGCAAUCAAGGAUGCCACAAGCUGACCCCACCUUGGGAGGAUCCAUAUGUGGUGGCUAAGGUCCUAAAGCCAGUAACGUACAAACUCGUAGAUGAGAAAGACGCGGUCUUCACCAACCCUUGGAACAUCGAACAACUACGUCGGUUCUACCCCUAGAGCUUUGAAGCUUUGUAUUUCCCAUGCAUUUUGUACCAUUGAGACACUUUGAAUAAAUGAAAGUAUUUUCAACAAUGCACAAUGUUACUAUUAAGUCUCGAUAAUAGAGAAAGUCUCGACUAUGACUCAUCAUAGUCGAAACUCCCUCGGGGGCUAGCAGGGGGAACCCCAUGAGCUCCUAAAAACUUGAACGUUUUUUCAAAAGCUCAACAUUAUUUCUUUCCUAAAAAGUUCUGCGCAGUCAAGUAGCAAACACUUCGAGCCCCUUAUGGGCCGAGGGACGUCGAGCCUGAGGAUCCCUACGCCUUUGAGCUAUGGUAACUCUACUCGCUCCCUUACUCUCGAGGCAAUCGAGUCUAUUUCAGAAACUUGACUGAGGAAUGGAAACUUAGGCAAUAAACAAAUAAAAAAAACUUGAGCAUAAAAAUAACAAAUAUUUACAGGAAUCACAAGUUUUAGGGCCAUCUAGGCCAUAAUACCGUCAAGUAGCAACAACUAAUUUAUUACAUUGGGUCUAGGUACCGAGUUCAGGCUCACAGGCCUUGAUCAUCAUCGCCGCCCUCUCCAUCCUUAUCUUCUUCACCCGCGCCAUCCUCAGCGGGGAGCACCUCUGGUUCGAACAGCGUCGCCAGCCUCUCACUAGGACCUUCAGCUUCGUCGAUCAAUGCGUGAAGCCUCUCCUCGUUCUCCACAUUAGUCUUGGUGAUGUCCGUGACAAAACCAUGGGACACCACCUCCAUGUCGUAGGAGAAGCCCGAGCAGACAACCACCAUAGCUCGCUUCACCCAAGUAUGGAGUGCAUCCAAGACCCGGUUCCUCACGGUAGCACCCAGGUAACACAGCUCGUCAACCAAGGCAUCGCCCCGAGCCGCCUUCGCUGCCUUGUUUGUAGGUUCGAGCUCCCAGGAAGUGGAGAGGUCAUUGAUGGUAGUCCUAAGCCGAUCUGUCAACAUGACCUCCCCCUCGAGCUCAUUCUUAAGGGUCUAAGAGGCAGUCUAGGCCGCCAACAGGUCAUCCUUAAGCUCUGUAGGAGUCAGCAUGAGAGUUAAUUGACAGGAAAUAAGUAUGAUUAGAGAAACACGUGCGAAAGAGUAAGAGCUUACCAUGGAUCUUCUCAUUGAGAGACGUGUUUUCACCAAGUAAGUCAGUGUUGGCCCUCUCGAUCUCCUUGUACGAGCAGGCCAUUCCCGUCUUCUCGACCAACAAGUCUGUUGGGUAUUCUUAACAUCAUUACCAAAAGUAGACUUAGUUUUCUAAUUCUGAUAACGGUGCCAAAAAUGCCAAACCUAUCCCUCAUACCACUUAAGCCAAGUUGUCAUCCCCAGCAUGACAUGAGAGACGCGGUAUUGAAAUAUGCAAUUGCUCUUCUAAAUAAAUAAUGGAUGGGAUCUGCAAGCGCACAGAUUAAUACCGAUGUAGCAUUUUAACCGAGAGGUAUUCCAGGUAUCGUUAUUUAUAUUUUUACCUCUGGGAAGGGAUUAGUAACCAUCAAUGUUGAUUAUAGAAUGGAAUAUGAGAUUGAGUAUCUAUCAUUGCAUGUAUAAUUGAGAACAUUUAUCUAACUCUUUCAUACAGGGGUAAGUGUCACAUAAAAGAUAUAUGAAGUAAUAAAUAGUGACAAAGAUAAUUAAUUUGAUCAGCAUAACUUAGCCACAUAAUAAAUAUGAUAAGCACCUCAAUUAGAUAUUCUAGAAAGUCAUUAGCAUGGUAUUAGAACGAACUACAAGAAUAUUUCCUAUGUUAUUCUCAACUAUAUAGUCUAGCAUUAUCAUAGUUAGUGCAAGCAUACUUAGCAAUCAUUGUGAGACAAGACUACGCCCAUGCAUAGUGAUAUUAGCAAGGUAAAUGAGAAACAUAGCAAUCACUCCCCUGUAAUAAUGUUGCUCUGCCAGUCCAAUACACGAGAGGGGGACUAUAUAAGAAUCAAUGAAGCUGUCACUAUCACGAACUACCCCGCAAUCUGGCAUAUUGGGUACAAUCGCAGAUAAAUACGGUAUAAGCACCACGCCUACACAAUAUCUAUCAUUUACCCAUGGAUCCGAUGGAUAAACGCUAUACGAUCCUAAGCAUGUAUAUAAUUCCAAUCUAACUAAGCCAAGUAUAUAACUAUGAUAAACUAAGAACAAUAUAAUCUUGAAUAUAAACAAGUAGAGCAAAGUCAUAAGCAAUAUAUUGAAGUAGAACAAAGUCAUAUUCAUAAUAUUGAAGAACAAAGAUGAUUAGAAGAACAAUUAGAAGCACAAUUAGAGAAUUACCAAGAAUCCGCUUGACAGAUCUGUAAACCAAUCGAAGAUUGACUCCUUCUAGUUCUAAUCCUAUGUAGCUAUGCUAAUCUAGAUGUCUAAUUGAUGUGGUGGCUCUAGGCUUGAUCAGAGGCUUCUUCUCCUUUGAGAAUAAUGAAUUAGGGUUGAGAGGCUCCCUCCUCCAGGGGCCAGGGGGUCUGGUUUUAUAGUCCCUUCAAGUGAAUAUGGGCCGUUGGAUCAAACCGACAUUGAUUGAAUGAUUAUCCUUGAUCCUUUGGGUCGGUGGAGAUCUUUCCCGAAAGAGUGUCCUGAUUGGAGUCCAACAGGGGGCGGGCGCCCAGGUCAACUGGGCGGGCGCCCAGUGCCUAGCCCCGUUCGGCCUCCGCUUCCUUGCCGUGGCUUUUGGAGUCUUCUAGAUGUAAGAUAAUUGUGCGGCACGUUGAUAUCUCUAUGUAAUCCCAACGUGUGGGCCUUUCUUCCAUAUUUCCUGAUAACCCCCUACACAAAUAGACAAACACCAAAACUCAUGGAAUUCUGUCAGAUAAAACCCUAAGUCUAGAUAUUGAUUUCAUUUGGAUCCUUUUCUUUGUUUAUUUGAUAAUUAAAUUUGAUACUUAAGGACCGUCAACAAACUCCCCCAAGCUUACCUCUUGCUCGUCCCUGAGCAAGGAUAGUCUCAGUGAUGGAUUAGAAGUUGUUGCAAUAUCUUUAAAAAUUGACAGUACACAUGCUUUUAAACAAGAUCUCAUCCCUGAGUUAGAGUAAACUGUCAAGACUUAAAACUUACUUACUUUACCUUUCACCAUGGGACUUGUAACCGUCACUUCUGUCUUGAGUAGUUAAAAGAUAGAACAGUCUAAUCAGGAGCCAUGUUUCUUAUUCUUGAUCAGCUAUAGCUCUGGAGUUUUUGCAGAUUUUCAAAUAAAACUCAGAGAUUCCUUGUAUGAUUCUCUCAUAUCUCUCUUUUGUGGUAUUUCUGGAUCCUUACCAAGGCAGUGAUAGUAUAUGCCUUCUCUUGAGAUAUGAGUAUUUGUGGUAUAAGGCAUAGUAACAUUGCCUUCUCUCUCAUCCUACUCUAAUAAUGCUUUAAUAUCUGGAGCUCAUAGGUGGGAGAUAAAAUAUACAUACUCACAAGACAUUUAUUGUAUAGUCAAACCAUAGAUCCAAAGAAACAAGUCAAUAAGUCAAAUCAAGAUGUGCAAGUGUGGCGAAUGAAUGGUGUAUGGUGAUGAUGGUGAUAACAAUGGUGGAAGUCUAAUUCUACUUUUGCUCUUUGAGAGGAUACAUACCUUCCUUGCUCUCUGAAACUUUGCGAGGAGAAUGAGAUGCUCUACAUUUUCUUUUUCUUUCCUCUCAGGUGGGUAUUUUGUACCUAAUUAUACUGUCGGACACUUGUCCAUUUUUACCUCUCGUCUCACUUUUUUCUUUUCUUUCGAGAUUCCGGGCACUUGCCCCUUUUUAUUUCCUCGUAUCUUUCUUUUUUUAGAGCACUCAUCUCAUGAGAUAAUGUAGCAAGUGGUAGUAACCAAGAUAACUCGAGCAUUUAUUUCAUAGGGGAAAACAUAAAUGUUUUUGGCUAUUCUCUCCCGGAUUAGGAGUAGAAUAUUUUUGGGUGGUUCCGGAGAUGGAAAUGGAUGGAUAUAUGUGGAUGGUACUUUCGGAGUAGAAGCAGCAUAUGUGAGUGAACGUGCAAGUGAAUCUUGAUUUAACCACAUGACAAGCUCCUAAGGGUCUACACAGCUUGACCACACUCAAUGCUCAUAAGCAGUAAAGAGUAAAUGUGUGGCUCAAAGUCUAAUAAGCAUGUAUAUAUGGCUGUGGUAGGAAUUUAAACUCUCAUCAUACAGGAACUCAUCAUGUGCUAUUUUAAAGAUUUUAAAAGAUAAAAUUCUCCAGAAUUUCUAGCAUCUCUAGGAACAGAUAAAUAGCAGCUCAACCUUUCCAUAUCGUAUUCGUUAACAACUUAGACUUCAGAUCAAGUUUUCUUCCCACAAGUUUAGGUUUAGAGCAAGCUUUAAAUUAUAACAGUUAUAUCUAAACUGGUGAGAGAACUCAAAUUUGAAAUUAGGCAGAGCAACUAUUCAUCAUAUCCAUGCUAGAGUUUUAUUUAGAUACAGUUUAGCAUAGCCACUUUAUUUAUUUAUUAAACACACUAACCAAAAGACAUAUAUUUAUAUAAGCACAAAAUCUUUAUUUGGUUUUUCCUAGUUUAUGUAUAUUUAUAUUCUAAUAUAAUAUAAGUGUAAAGAUAGAUAGAAAUACUUAUCGGGAUAAAUGGGGGUGCUCUCUCCCAAGCUGAAUUUUGAUGUAAUUUCUCUUGAUAUAGCUAGCAGGUGGCAGAGGUAUAUUUGAAAGUCGGCAAUAUCUUGACAGCGAUUAGAAUGUCCUCCGUCUGCUAGUCUUCUUAAUUCUUAAAUUCUAUGGAGCUCAAAUAGCCAACAAAGCUUGUGGAACUGAUUAAAUGUUAGCAUAAAUAUCUAGCCCUCAUCAUGUUGAGACUCCUCAAUAAAUGUUACUCUCUAUUUUUAUAUUUUCAUUUUUAUAAAGCAGAAAAAUAUUUAUUUUAUUUUUAUGCCACCACAGGGAAUGUACUUAUGGGUUUUAUGCCACUCGUAUACUCACAUGGGGCUUACUGUUUUUUUAAUAUUUUAUUUUCUUUUUAGGAUAGUAUGAACAUAAUUAACUGAGUGAACUAUUAAAAUAAUUGAAAGGGAAAGGAUAACUACCAAGUUUACCUCUUGGCAAGGCGUUCGGUGUUUUUAAGUCAUCCGAACGGGACUCUCCGUUUUCUCAGUUGUCCUGGGAUUCAUUAGGUGGCGUAGUCGGUACUUCCGGCAGCGCCUCUUCUUCAUGUAUGGUUAUCUUCUCUCUCCAUACCUGACGUGCUACGGUCUCCUCAGGAUAAUUCUGUUUAAACUUUAUGUCAUCUGACCUUACAACUUCUCCUUCGUAGUCUGCCCAUCCGUCCUUGAUGAUUUGCCUCCUCUGGUUGCGGUUGCGUCGUUUUCUGACCUGCUUAGAGUCUUCAACGAUAUAGUUAGGGUCAGUAAAAUAACGGCGUACCUUCUCUGAGGGGAAGUGCAUAUGGACUUCUCCAGUUCCAAUGUAGAUGAUUGCUUUAACAGUGCUGAGGAACGGUCUUCCAAGGAUGAUGGGUGGAUCGUAUUCGUCUUCUCCCAUGUCAAUAACCUGAAAGUCUGUGUAGACAAAAUGAUCGUCUAUUUUGACAGGGAUAUCAGUUACUAUACCUUCAACCUUUCGGAAUGUCUGAUCUGCCAUCUGGAGCUGAAUGUAUGUCGGUUUUAGGGGCAUGGUUCCGAAUAAAAGUUGAUAGGUGACUGCGGCCAUUAUGUUGACACCGGAUCCGGUGUCGCAAAGUGUCUUGUAGAAGUUGUAUCCAUUGAUGGAGCAAUGGAUGCUUGGCAUUUCUGGGUCAUCCUUCUUGGUUAGAAACGGUGACUUAAGUCGAUGAUCUUGACCUCCAUGAACUGCAGUGACCAUCUUAGCUGACUCGGUCCAUACUUGCUUGUUCCUGUUCCUCCUAUUGGUCCUCUUCCUUGAUUCACGUCUGGAUUGAUCUGGGAUUUGUGUAGUCUUGUUCUUGAAGAAAAAUGUCUCCUUUCUCCCUUUGAUGUAGAAACUGAUCUUGGCAGCACUAGCGUAGAUGACAGCUCCCGAGGUGUUUAAGAAUGGCCUCCCUAAGAUGAUGGGUGCCUUCUCAUCAUUACCAGUCUCUAUCACCACGAAGUCUGCUAGGGCGUACAAGGUACCAACUCGGACACAAAGAUUCUUCAAUAUUCCCUUAGGGAAACUUAAUGCCUGAUCUGCAAACUGCAAACACAUGGUUGUUUCUAAUAAAGGAUAUGUAAAGAAUUUUUCAUAGAGUACCCUAGGCAUAAUGUUCACGCUACAGCCAAAGUCGCAGAGUGCUUCUGGGACGUCCACCAUGCCGAUGGAGAUUGGGAUGACGGGGCGUCCUGGAUCGCCUUUCUUGAUCGGCAGAAGGUCAGUAGUGAAUUCAGUGACGGGGUUACUCCAGUUAUUAUCUGCAUCAAACAUGUCUACAAGAUUUGCAGAUUCUAAUCCUUCCAGUUGUGAUGGUAUACCGGGGUUAGUAGCAGGAACAGCAGCAGCUAUUUGAUUUAACUGAGAUUCAAUCAUUUUGUUAAAGCUAAUUUGAUUCUUGAUGGCAGUAGAGAAAUUAUCCAUUCUAUUAUUUAUAUUUUCUAGCAUUUUAUCAUUAGAUGCCAAUUUCUUAGAUAGGUUAUCCAUUAGCUUUCCUUGAUUAGAUACUAAUUCUCUCAGAGGUUGAAAAUUAUUAUUAUUGUUGUAAGAAUUGUUACCUUGAUAAUUACCUGAGUAGUUAGGCCUCUGUUGAUUCCAACCUUGAUUUUGCUGAGGACGGUUAUAGUAGUUGUUGUUGUUGUUGAUGAUGUAGUUCACAUCCUCAUGCAUCUCAGGACAGUGGUUGCCUGAGUGUCCAGUGUCUCCACACUCCUCACAAGUCAUGUGAGAGUCGUAGAUGUGCAUGACUUCUUUCUUAUCUCCAGUUCUAUCAUCGAGCUUCUUCAUGAGCAGGUCUAGCUUAGCAGACAGCAUGUCUAUCUCCUUGAGCUGAUGCAUACCUCCACCUUUCUUGCGUGUCCGGGUCCUCUCUUCAUUCCAGCCUUGAUUGGAUGCCAUCUUCUCCACAAGAGCUGUGGCUUGUGGUAUGGUAAGUGAUGAUAGGAAUGCUCCUCCAGCUGCAGCAUCCAUGGUCUCUCGGGCACUGUUGCCGAGCCCAUGAUAAAACGUCUGCAUCAGUAGCCAACUCUCCAUUCCAUGAUGGGGACAUUCUAGGAUGUAGUCUUGGAAGCGCUCCCGUGCUUCUGGAACGGAUUCAUCAUGUUGUUGCUGAAACUUGUAAUCUUCCCACGGAGAGCAUUGGUCUUGCCCAUGGGAAAGAACUUAGCCAGAAAGUUUGUUGAGCAGAGUGCCCACGUAGUAUUCUUCUCCUUUGUAGCAUAAAACCACUGCUUCGCUCUCCCCAAUAGUGAGAAUGGAAAGAGGCGAAGUAGUAUAGCAUCUCUGGGAACUCCUGAUAUGGUGAAUGUGCUGCAAAUCUCCAGAAAGUGUUGGUGAUGAGCACUAGCAUCUUCGUGUGCCUUCCCACAGAACUGGUUGGAUUGCACCAUGUUGAUAAGUCCAGGCUUGAGUUCAAAGUUGCCAUCGAUCUCUGCAGCAGGUCCAGUGCGGAUGUUGUCCGUAGUGGGAGCUGAGAACUUGCGGAUUGAUUUGUUCGCCAUGGCUUCGAACUCUGAAGACAAGUUCCGGUGAUCUUCUUGAUUGGAUGAAGCUUCUUGCUGAAGUGUUGAUGAUCUCUUCUUGAGCUUGGCUCUUGUUUUUCUGAAUAAUGCUUCGGGAUUAUCAACAAAAUUUUCUGGAAGAUGUCUUCUAUUCAUACAUUACCCUGCAUAAGAUAAAAUAGAAAAAUAUCGGGGUAAAACUGUAUGAGAGAAUAGAUAAGCUCAAUCAUAUUAGUGAUGCGAAUGAUAACUCAAAAUCCUAUAUUCAUUCCUAAUUAGUAAUCAACCUUCCCCAGCAACGGCGCCAAAAAUGCUUGUUGGGUAUUCUUAACAUCAUUACCAAAAGUAGACUUAGUUUUCUAAUUCUGAUAACGGUGCCAAAAAUACCAAACCUAUCCCUCAUACCACUUAAGCCAAGUUGUCAUCCCCAGCAUGACAUGAGAGACACGGUAUUGAAAUAUGCAAUUGCUCUUCUAAAUAAAUAAUGAAUGGGAUCUGCAAGCGCACAGAUUAAUACCGAUGUAGCAUUUUAACUGGGAGGUAUCCAGGUAUCGUUAUUUAUAUUUUUACCACUGGGAAGGGAUUAGUAACCAUCAAUGUUGAUUAUAGAAUGGAAUAUGAGAUUGAGUAUCUAUCAUUGCAUGUAUAAUUGAGAACAUUUAUCUAACUCUUUCAUAUAGGGGUAAGUGUCACAUAAAAGAUAUAUGAAGUAAUGAAUAGUGACAAAGAUAAUUAACCUGAUCAGCAUAACUUAGGCACAUAAUAAAUAUGAUAAGCACCUUAGUUAGAUAUUCUAGAAAGUCAUUAGCAUGGUAUUAGAACGAACUACAAGAAUAUUCCCUAAGUUAUUCUCAACUAUAUAGUCUAGCAUUAUCAUAGUUUGUGCAAGCAUACUUAGCAAUCAUUGUGAGACAAGACUACGCCCAUGCAUAGUUAUAUUAGCAAGGUAAAUGAGAAACAUAACAAUCACUCCCCUGUAAUAACACGAGAGGGGGACUAUAUAAUAAUCAAUAAAGCUGUCACUAUCACGAACUACCCCGCGAUCUGGCAUAUUGGGUACAAUCGCAGAUAAAUACUAUAACACCCCAGUGUUAUGGUUGCAUAAAUCACAUGCAUAACAUGAGCAUCAUCUACUCAAGCAUAUCAUAAUCAUCAUCUACCUUGAGCCAUGUCAUUUUAUGCUUAAGUGUGCUUUAACUUGUUUAAUCAUGUUUCCUAUGCUUGUGUUGGUGUGUACCAUGCUUAUAUGUGUGUGCCAUGUCUUGGUAAUUAGUUUCUCUAUGCUUAACUCAACCUUAGGAACAAUGUUCAUGUUGAUCACUUCUCCAAAUUAAGUGCUUAAGUCAUAUUUACAUGUAUAUGCCCUAGAAACCUCUUUUGCUUAGGCCUUUAAAAAGUGUUUCAUAAAUUGUUUGCAUGUCAAAACUUUCUACAGCAAAGUUGUAGCAAAUUUUAUAAGGAACAAAAGUUGUUUUAUGGCCAUCUCAUGAAAAUGAACACAUCUAGCUCAAAAGUGACCAACAAGGCAAAUUUGGGGCUGUUUCCAACACUUAGAAAAUUUUCUAAGUCUAGGAUCGCAACAGUUUGCUCGAGGGUAUGUUGUUCAUCUUCCAGUUUGAAUUCUAGACCAUUGGGCACGGUUCUCUAACAAACUUGUACCUGCUGCUUUUGGAUGGAUGGUGUACGACUCUGGCUAUAACAAGAACUUGUGAACUAAACUUUGGAACGUGUGUUGUAAACUAUUUUGCUUCCGCUACUAUAAACAUGUGUUGUAAUAACUAAGUAACUCCGAUGUGGUGCCGCUUCGACGGCAAUGAAUGAUUAUGUAACAUUCGCUGUGUUGUGUUGAACUAUUACGAUCUUGGUUUGUUGCAAGUUGGUUUGAAGUCCUUCGUGAUUUCAGUUGACUACCGGGAUUAUAUGGGCUCAAGUUUGGAAACUUGAUUUCUUACCGAUCGUUUCUACACUUGAACUCUUAUAAUUUGGUCGGUUCUGUGACAGCUGGCAUCAAAGCAAGUUUAGCAUUAUAAAUGCAGCGUUUGUGUAUUUAAAAACAAAAGAAUUUUAAAUAAAAUUGUGAAAAUCAAUAUUUAAGUUAUGCCAGUGGUCGAAUCCUCCUUGCCCGUAUAAGGACUAUAGGUGGCUAUUUAAGUACUGACUUGGGGGGGUUUUAUUUUAUGCAUCUUCGACAGUACUCAGGUAUGGAUGUGUGAUGACCGCACUAUGCUACCCUGUGGUCUAAUGGUAGAGGUAGCCUUCAUAUGUGAAUUAGCCACAUAUGUCGCUAGAUUUAAAUUAUGCAACGUCGCAACUACGAUCUGGUAAGUGUGAGCUGUGAGAGCAUGAUCGUCCAAACGGCGGUCUUGGGGAGUGUUCGCGGUGAUUUUCUGGAGUGGUUACAUGUCUAACCAUGGAACCACGAAAGAAACUUAAUUGGAGAGCAUUUAAUUUCUCGGGUAGCUGUGGUGUUAUUGUUUGUACAUGUGGGGCAUGUCCAAGCGAUGUGCACUUAGUUUACUGCUUUCUUGAGUGAUAUAUUGGGAACUGUUGGGCUGCAAUGAAGUUUUCUGCAGGUACUCUAACAGCGCACUUGUAAAUCGCUAGUUGUCGUAUCGAGAGACGAAUGUAUGCCACCGUAUAUCUGUUAGAAUAUUAAUUUUCUAAGUUUGUGAGGACGUACGGUUCGUGCAUGCAUCAUGUCGCAUUCAUACAUACAUUCUAUCUACUCCUUCCCUUACAAUGUCGUCCCUUUUAAUUAAAUAAAUGUUGCUUAAAUUAAUCCUCUCUUACCCAUGGUAUUCCUAUUCCUUUCCACAGAUGGACGUGCCCGCUUCACCUCGCCCCAGUGACACCUUCUUGAGCGAGUUUGGCACUCCUACCUUGCUCUGGAGGGUAUUGCAGUCUGUGGGAUAUACUGAGCCACCUCAGUAUUCUUGGUGGGAGGUGGAUAUGACAGGAGAGUUGCAGUGGUUUGCUGUGCAGGAAGUUGUCCCACCACACGGGGGCAAGCCUGCGUAGACAGGGUGGACCUGCAACUCCGAUGGGCAGACUCCGUCGGAAGCAGCUCAAGUUGCAGCCCAUGCUAUGCUGCUCAACAUCUGUCAGAGGUUUGGCGAUGAGCUGACAGGAGGGCCAGCGGCCUCCAUUCCACGUGCUGACCCAGCAGCAGUGGAGUGGAAGCAGGUUGUUGGGUGUGCGUUGGUCCGAGGCAGAGGAGAGCGAGCUGAGAGUUCUAGUCCUGCUAUGAGUGCUAUGAUGGCUGUGCUCAAGCUAUUCAGUCAGCGAGAGGACACCUAUGCACAGGUGAUGGUGGCUGUUCGCCAGGCUCAGGAGAUGCAACAGAAGGCUGAAAAGCGUGCUCGUAUGUUUCGCAAGCAAGCUAGACUCCUAGAGCAAGCUCAGAAGGACCACAAUGACUGGGAAGGCAUUGCAGAGUACCGUAGGCAGCAAUGGGUAAAGGCCAUCAGAGAGAGAGAGAGAGAUCAUAAGCAGGAUCAGAUGAGUCAGUUGGCUAGAGAGAGAGAGACUGUGCAGGAGCGCUUGGUGCAGGUCACUCGAGAGAGGGAUACUGCGCUCCGUAUGUCGGAGAACAGGAGCUGGGCGUGGGAGAUGCACCGGAUCCACUCGUUUGAGCGGGAGAACUAUCUGCAGGAUCAGAUUGAGGCUGGUCUUGUGGAGAUUCACCGUCUCAACAACUUGCUACACCCUAUUCCUCAUCAUGUACCCGUGUAUCCAGAGGUGGGACCUCAGGUGAUUGUGGCCGAUGAUGAUGGUAUGGAGGUAGACGGACCAGCAGCGGCUGCACCACCUUUGCACGAGGACGUGGAGGACGAGGAGCUUGAGCCGGUUAGCGACGAGGAUGGAGAAGCGAUCUUCGACGCUGACUCGGGCGACGAGCCUGGAGUGUAGUGCGUAGUUGUUGUGCGGAUCUUUUGUAGUUUGGCAGUUAGCAGUGGUGCUUUUGUAAUCUUGUUGUAAUCCGGAACCUUGAUCUUUGACUAUGUCAUGUACUGGGAUGGUGUGAUAACUUUAUGGACCCAAUGUGUUAACGUUAUCAUGUCGAUCAGUUGUCAUGAUGUUUUCCGUGUUGUGCAUAUUACGGAUAUCUCUGUCAUGUGUUGGAUUGGUGAUGUUGUUUUGUGGAAUUGAAUUAUUGUGCCUUUUCCGUAAAGCUAUUCUUUCGAAUACUUUCAGGCAUGAAUAUAAGUUCUUCUAUGGCAAAUCUUGUCAUCAUCAAUACUCACUGACUGUAUUUCUACAGAUGUCUCGUGGCACUCGAGGUGCGGAACAGCGUGCGAACAUGAACCCACCCCCUCCUCCUCCACCACCAAACCCAGCUGAGCUGAUGCAAUUGAUGGUGGAAAAUCAGAGGAUGCUUACUGAGACCAUCAACCGGAUGGCAAAUCAGGGUGGUCGUCAUGCACAAGAAGGGCCAGCACCUAACCAGUAUAGCAGUUUCAAGGAUUUCAUGGAUAUGAAGCCCCCAUUUUUCAGAGAGGUGAAAGAACCCCUUCAAGCUGAGGAAUGGCUGAACACGGUGGAACAAAAAUUCCGCUUGCUUCGUCUGACCGAGGGUUUGAAGGCCGAGUAUUCAGCUCACCAACUGCAGGGUCCGGUAGGCAUAUGGUGGAAUCUGUAUCGGGAGGCUCUUCCUGAUAAUACUGUGGUUGACUAGAACCUCUUCCAUGAGGCUUUUAAGGGGCACUUCAUCCCUCCUGGUGUUAUGGAGAUGAAGCAUACAGAGUUUAUGCAAUUGACCCAGGGCAACAAAACUCUGAAGGAGUACCUACAUGCUUUCAAUCAUCUGUCUAGGUAUGCUCUUGAGUUUGUGAACACUGAAGCAAAGAAGAUUGCUAGCUUCAAACGGGGUCUUGGCCCCAAGUUGCUGAAAACCAUGGGCCGCUGUAAGUGUGCAACUUUCAAUGAGUUUGUCAGUGAUGCUCUCACCCAAGAGAACUAUAACACUGUGUACACUGCGACCAAGACUCGCAAGAGAGCUUUUGAGGCCGAGGUAGGGGCAUCUCAGUCCAAGGCUCCAGUGGCAGCUAGGCCCCCGUACCGUGCUCCAAUUCCUAACCAGCGAUAUCGCCCUCCAGUGAAGAAGAAUCAGGCGAAGACGGGUUUCUGCAAGGGGUACUCUAUUGCUCUUCCUAGGGGAAACACAGGUCCCAACUAUGCCAAGACUCCACCUGCCAACCGUCCGUGCUGGAACUGCAAUCAGACCGGGCACUGGCAGAGCAAUUGUCCUUACCCGCCAAAGAAGGUCAACCAAGGGAACGUCCGCCAGGGGCGUGUUCACUACACAACUGUGGAGGCAAUCCCUGCUGGUGAGGUAGUUACGGCUGGUAAGUUUCUAGUUAACCAAUGUGAUGCACUUGUGCUUUUUGAUUCAGGAGCAUCGCAUUCUUUUGUGAGUUUAGAAUUUGUGUCUAAGCAUAAUCUCAAGGCAAUUACACUUGAUAAGGGCAGUUAUUGCAUUAGUGCUGCUGGAAAUGAUAUUUCUACAAAUCAAGUGGUUUUGGGGGCAACUCUGGAAAUAGGAGACCGUCAGUUUCUUGCUGAUUUGGUUGUCCUACCCGGUGUGGGCAUAGAUGUAAUUUUGGGUAUGAAGUGGAUGAGUGGUAACGGAGUUCUUAUCGACACCACCACUCGUGUAGUGAUGUUGAGAGACUCGAAUACUAAAGAGGCGUUCUUAGUGCAACUUCCUCGGGAUAUUCAUAUCCGUAGCACGAUGAAUGCAGUUACAUCUAGGGCCAUCAAGGAUAUCCCAAUGGUGUGUGAGUUCCCGGAUGUAUUCCCUGAUGAUUUACCCGGGCUUCCUCCAGAUUGUGGAGUUCAAAAUUGAAUUAAUCCCAGGUACCGCUCCUAUCUCUAGAAGACCAUAUAGAAUGCCACCAAAUGAGCUAGCUGAGCUUAAGACCCAGUUGAAUGAAUUGUUGAAGAAGGGUCUUAUCCAUCCUAGUUCUUCUCCUUGGGGAUUGUCCGACUAUCUUUGUGAAGAAGAAGGAUCAGUCCUUGCGCAUGUGUGUGGACUAUCUGUAACACCCGGCCCAGAGCUCAAUAGUUUUAAUAGGAGACUCAUACCAACAAGUUGCAACUUCUUUUCCGGAAGCCCAUCUCCAGAAAAACUCUAAAGUUAAGCGUGCUUGGCCUGGAGCAAUUUAGGGAUGGGUGACCGACCGGGAACUAGUUCCCGGGUGCGCACGAGUGAGGACAAAGUAUGCAGAAAAGACCAGUGUUGGUUUGUGGGGGCUAACUAUGUCCUAGAAAAGCUGCCAGAUGUAAGCGGACCCGGUCUCGUGGAGGCGGGACGUUACAGAAUGGUAUCAGAGCCGACUCUCGCGGUAUCACGGGCACGUGUGUUGCAGUUGCGCACGCAUGGUGUGCAUGGCUGGUGUGGACCCAGAGUGGUCACACAGCAUGGCACAUGCGCUGGCACUGGAUGCACGGACGUGGCCAAGAGAGGACGUUCCUGGCUUGGGGUUGAUCGACGAGGACGUCGAUCUCUUAAGGGGGUGAGGAUGUAACACCCGGCCCAGAGCUCAAUAGUUUUAAUAGGAGACUCAUACCAACAAGUUGCAACUUCUUUUCCGGAAGCCCAUCUCCAGAAAAACUCUAAAGUUAAGCGUGCUUGGCCUGGAGCAAUUUAGGGAUGGGUGACCGACCGGGAACUAGUUCCCGGGUGCGCACGAGUGAGGACAAAGUGUGCAGAAAAGACCAGUGUUGGUUUGUGGGGGCUGACUAUGUCCUAGAAAAGCUGCCAGUUGUAAGCGGACCCGGUCUCGUGGAGGCGGGACGUUACACUAUCGUCCCCUGAAUGCGGUGACCAUCAAGAAUAAAUACCCUCUUCCUCGCAUUGAUAUCCUGUUUGAUCAGUUGUCUAAAGCCAAGGUAUUCUCCAAGAUUGAUUUGCGAUCUGGGUACCAUCAGAUCAAGAUUCGUCCUGAAGAUGUACUUAAGACAGCUUUCUCGAUGAGGUAUGGGUUGUAUGAGUAUCUCGUCAUGUCCUUCGGUCUUACAAAUGCACCUGCUCACUUCAUGUAUCUCAUGAAUUCGGUGUUUAUGCCCGAAUUGGACAAGUUUGUGGUGGUCUUCAUUGAUGAUAUCUUGGUAUAUUCUUGCAAUGAAGAGGAGCAUGCAGAGCAUCUGCGUGUGGUGUUGUCGCGCUUGCGUGAGCACCAGCUUUAUGCUAAGUUCAGCAAAUGCGAGUUUUGGCUGAAGAAAGUACCUUUCUUGGGCCAUGUCUUAUCAGAAGAAGGCAUAUUGGUGGAUCCGGCUAAGGUGCAAGAAGUGCUGGAUUGGAUAGUUCCAACUUCGGUGCACGAGGUUCGGAGUUUUCUGUGGUUGGCUUGGUAUUAUCGUCGGUUCAUUCCAGAAUUCUCAAAGAUAUCCAAGUCUAUGACUCGCCUACUCUAGAAAGAUGAGAAGUUUGUGUGGACGCCUCAGUGUGAAGAGGCAUUCCACAAGUUGAGGACAUUGCUAACAUCAGCUCCUGUCCUAGCUCAACCUGAUAUCGAGAAGCCCUUCGAUGUCUUUUGUGACGCGUUGGGUAUUGGUCUAGGCUGUGUGCUGAUGCAAGAAGGUCGUGUCAUCACGUAUGCCUCGCGCCAACUUCGAAAGCAUGAGGUCAAUUACCCUACUCAUGACUUAGAAUUGGCUGCAGUUGUUCAUGCUUUGAAAAUCUAGAGGCACUAUUUGCUGGGUAAUCUGUGUAAUAUCUACACUGACCAUAAGAGUCUCAAGUACAUCUUCACUCAACCUAAAUUGAACAUGCGGCAGUGAAGGUGGCUUGAGUUGAUUAAAGAUUAUAAUCUACAAUUGCACUACCAUCCGGGCAAGGCAAACGUGGUUGCGGAAGCCUUGAGUCGGAAAGCGCACUGUCACUCAAUUCAGGUGGAAGAUCCAUUGUUGUCACAUCUUAUGCACCCACUCGUGCUCAACCAGAUUUCUCUGGAGAGUACUCUUCGCAAUCAAGUCAUCGAAUUGCAGCAAACAGAUGUAGGCAUCCACCAUAUAAAGAGGAAAAUGAAGGAAGAAGAAACCAAGCACUUCCGGGUUGAUGAGAACGGAAUUCUUUGGUUCAAAGAUCGACUUGUGGUCCCAAAAGACCGUGAGCUGCGAAAUCAGAUCUUAUCUGAAGCUCAUUCAUCCAAGUUGUCUAUCCAUCUUGGUAGUAGCAAGAUGUAUCAGGAUCUGAAACCUCUGUUUUGGUGGACAAAGAUGAAAAAGGAGAUUGCUGCUUUUGUCGCUCGUUGUGAUAAUUGUUGUCGUGUGAAAGCCAUUCACAUGAAAGCAGGCUUACUUCAACCCUUAUCAAUUCCUGGUUGGAAAUGGGAAGAAGUCAACAUGGAUUUCAUUAUUGGACUCCCAACUUCUGUCAAGGGUUACGACUCUAUCUGGGUGAUUGUAGACCGUUUGACCAAGGUUGCUCAUUUUAUUCCAGUUCGAACUGACUAUCGUCCACACCAGUAUGCAGAAUUGUACUUCGAGCACAUUGUUCGUCAGUAUGGUGUGCCUCGAACUAUUGUAUCAGAUCGUGGACCAUAGUUCACUACCCAUUUUUGGGAGUGUCUACAUGAGCAGAUUGGUACUCAAUUGGUCCGUAGUUCGGCAUAUAAUCCCCAAACGGCCGGCCAAACUGAACAGGUCAACCAAAUCCUAGAAGACAUGUUGAGGGCAUGUGCUCUCUCCACAAAAGGUUCUUGGGUUAAGUGGUUGCCGUUAGCUGAGUUCUCUUAUAACAACAGUUAUCAAGAGAGUAUCAAGAUGGCUCCAUUUGAAGCCCUGUAUGGUCGAAAAUGUCGAACCCCGUUGAAUUGGGUGGAAUCCGGGAAACGAAGGUAUUACGGCAUCGAUUUCAUGAACGAAGCGGAGCAGCAAGUCCGUACCAUCCAGCAACAUCUGGAAGCUGCUCAAGCUCGUCAGAAAAGUUAUGCUGACAAGAGAAGGAAGCCGAUUGAGUUUGCAGUCGGUGACCAUGUGUAUAUCAAGGUGUCUCCGAUGAAGGGCGUACGAAGGUUCGGAGUCAAGCGAAAGCUUGCACCUCGAUAUGUGGGACCUUAUCGGAUUCUCGAAAGAAAAGGGAAUGUAGCAUACAUAGUUCAACUACCAAUUGAGCUUCGAUCUAUUUUUCCUGUAUUCCACGUAUCACAAUUGAAGAAGUGCCUUCGUGUUCCGAAGAAACGAGUGGAAGUUCGGGAUAUCAAAUUGAAAUCUGACUUGGUGUACGAGGAGAAACCUGUAGCGGUUCUCGACCGCAAGGAACGGGUGACUCGUAAUCGUGUGGUUAAGUUCUACAAGGUGUUGUGGAGUAACCACGGGGAAGAAGAUGCCACUUGGGAAACUGAGGACUAUUUAAAAGAAGUUUACAAAACAUUCUGCGAAAAUCAGUAAGCUUCCAAAUCUCGGGAUGAGAUUUUUGUAACGGGGGAGGGCUGUAACACCCCAUUAUUAUGGUUGCAUAAAUCACAUGCAUAACAUGAGCAUCAUCAUCUACUCAAGCAUAUCAUAAUCAUCAUCUACCAUGAGCCAUGUCAUUUUAUGCUUAAGUGUGCUUUAACUUGUUUAAUCAUGUUUCCUAUGCUUGUGUUGGUGUGUACCAUGCUUAUAUGUGUGUGCUAUGUCUUGGUAAUUAGUUUCUCUAUGCUUAACUCAACCUUAGGAACAAUGUUCAUGUUGAUCACUUCUCCAAAUUAAGUGCUUAAGUCAUAUUUACAUGUAUAUGCCCUAGAAACCUCUUUUGCUUAGGCCUUUAAAAAGUGUUUCAUAAAAUGUUUGCAUGUCAAAACCUUCUGCAGCAAAGUUGUAGCAAAUUUUAUAAGGAACAAAAGUUAUUUUAUGGCCAUCUCAUGAAAAUGAACACAUCUAGCUCAAAAGUGACCCACAAGGCAAAUUUGGGGCUGUUUCCAACACUUAGAAAAUUUUCUAAGUCCAGGAUCGCAACAGUUUGCUCGAGGGUAUGUUGUUCAUCUUUCAGUUUGAAUUCUAGACUGUUUGGCACGGUUCUCUAACAAACUCGUACCUGCUGCUUUUGGAUGGAUGGUUAUGACUCUGGCUAUAACAAGAACUUGUGAACUAAACUUUGGAACGUGUGUUGUAAACUAUUUUGCUUCCGCUACUACAAACAUGUGUUGUAAUAACUAAGUAACUCCAAUGUGGUGACGCUUCAACGGCAAUGAAUGACUAUGUAACAUUCGCUGUGUUGUGUUGAACUAUUAUGAUCUUGGUUUGUUGCAAGUUGGUUUGAAGUCCUUCUUGAUUUCAGUUGACUACCGGGAUUAUAUGGCUCAAGUUUGGAAACUUGAUUGCUUGCCAAUCGUUUCUACACUUGAACUCUUAUAAUUUGGUCGGUUCUGUGACAAAUAUGGUAUAAGCACCACGCCUACACAACAUCUAUCAUUUACCCAUGGAUCCGAUGGAUAAACGCUAUACGAUCCUAAGCUUGUAUGUAAUUCCAAUCUAACUAAGCCAAGUAUAUAACUAUGAUAUACUAAGAACAAUAUAAUCUUAAAUAUAAACAAGUAGAGCAAAGUCAUAAGCAAUAUAUUGAAGUAGAACAAAGUCAUAUUCAUAAUAUUGAAGAACAAAGAUGAUUAGAAGAACAAUUAGAAGCACAAUUAGAGAAUUACCAAGAAUCUGCUUGACAGAUCCGGAAACCAAUCGAAGAUUGACUCCUUCUAGUUCUAAUCCUAUGUAGCUAUGCUAAUCUAGAUGUCUAAUUGAUGUGGUGGCUCUAGGCUUGAUCAGAGGCUUCUUCUCCUUUGAGAAUAAUGAAUUAGGGUUGAGAGGCUCCCUCCUCCAGGGGCCAGGGGUCUGGUUUUAUAGUCCCUUCAAGUGAAUAUGGGCCGUUGGAUCAAACCGACAUUGAUUGAAUGGUUAUCCUUGAUCCUUUAGGUCGGUGGAGAUCUUUCCCGAAAGAGUGUCCUGAUUGGAGUCCAACAGGGGGCGAGCGCCUAGGUCAACUGGGCGGGCGCCCAGUGCCUGGCCCGUUCGGCCUCCGCUUCCUUCCCGUGGCUUCUGGAGUCUUCUAGAUGUAAGAUAAUUGCGCGGCACGUUGAUAUCUCUAUGUAAUCCCGACGUGUGGGCCUUUCUUCCAUAUUUCCUGAAAACCCCCUACACAAAUAGACAAACACCAAAACUCGUGGAAUUCUAUCAGAUAAAACCCUAAGUCUAGAUGUUGAUUUCAUUUGGAUCCUUUUCUUUGUUUAUUUGAUAAUUAAAUUUGAUACUUAAGGACCAUCAACAAAGUCCUUGAUCAGUUCCCCCGACUCAAGGAUGGCGUCUUCCUUCUCUUGUAGUGCUCCCUUCAAAUGAUCGAUGUCAUCAGAUAAGCUACGAGAGCGGGUCUACUCCUUCUCGAGCUCCUCAUGGGCCUUUCUGUCAUUCUUAUCUGUGGUGUCUUAUGCAAUUGCAUGGCUGCGCAGCUCCUCCUUCACCCCGGUGUAGUUGUCUUUGGUGGCAGCACGGUCCACCUCGAGCUUCCCAAUGUGCUCGGUGAGCAAGACCAUGUUGUCCUCCGCCACUUUCUAGUCCUCCCUAGCCUUGGCGGCUUCCUUCUUGGCUUGGGUGGCUUCUUCUCGAGCUUUCUCCAUGACUUCCUAGGCGACCUGCGCAUCUUCCUCUACGCGGUAGAUCUUCCCGUUCAUACCGGUCAAGGUCUUCAAAGCCUCGGUUAGGGCAGCCCCUUUCUUCUGCUGCUCCUCUACAGCCUCAAUCAGCCCUUUCUGUGACUUGAGAAGCUUUUCUUGGGACUUGAGAAGCUUCUGCUCGAGAAUUGGGACCUGCUCCCAUCCUCUCUUCGUCGCAUGGAUGAAGCCAGACUUCAUCUGGGAGGUCUCUUUCAAAUCCUGCGUAAAGCAUAAACUGAUAAGAACGCAAGCGAAAUCUGCGGCACAAAACAACGAAAGCAGAAGAACCCUUAUGAAGAAAGCCUUGCUCAAGUCAUUGGCGACGAUAUCGACCGUCAGACCUAGGGCAUGUUUCAUCCAGAGCUUGAGCUCCUCGACAUGCUCCCACUUCUCGACCUCCUCACGGUCAACUAUCUCGAGCAGCGGCUCCUCUAGCAUCACAGGGUCCCACAGUCGGAUCCUCCUAGGACCCCAAUACUGAAGCUCCUCUCUCGAGCGUUCCUUGAUGCCUCGAAGGAGCGUCUUUGCGAUGUCGGUUGAGCCCCCCAUGGCAUACGAACAGGUCGACCAGGGUAGGAAACCUGGGGUCUUUCUCGCCAGCGCCAGAGGUCCUGGCUUCAUCCGACCACAGCCAGACCUCCGACUUGGGGUCUAUGGGCGUACGAGUGCGGAGCGCCAGCGCCAUGACGCCGUCCUCUCGAACCGGCUCGGUCGGGCAAGUAACGGGCACCCCUGGUUUCAGCCAUGAGGGGGUCUCAGGGCCAUAGAUAGGCAGCUCCGACCCCUGGACCUCUGGAUCUUGCGGCUGCUGACCAUAUUGAGGGUCGAGACCCUACUGGACCUCCUUCUGCUGUUGUGACUGCUGGUGUUGCUGGUGUUGCUGGUGUUGCUGCUGCUGCUGGUGGUGCUAUUUCUACUACUAUUGUUGUUGCUGCUGGUGGUGGUCGUCGUCGUGUUAUUGCUGAUGUUGCUACUGCUGGUGUUGCUGCUAUUAUUGUUGUUGCUGCGGAGGGCUCGAGUCGGGCGCCCCUUUCACGGACAAGUCACGCGACAGGGAUGCGACCUUGCUCUGCUCCUCCUCCUUCUUCUUCCCCUCACCUCUGUCUUCCUCUUCUACUCCUCCUUCCUCUUCUUCCUCUUCUCCUCUUCAGCGGCGUGAAGCCCAGUGGGCCAUGGUGUCCACCCCUCGGUUCGAGGGACCUCGACCCCCUCAGCUGCGGUGCGAUCGCCCGACGGGAGCAAGCCCUCCGCAGACUCGUCGUUGACGGUGAUCGGGGAAUCUUCCACCCCAAGUUUGGGUGGCUCGGGGGAUCCUUCCAAGUCCUGAGGGUGAGGAACCCUGCCCUAACUAGAAACAGGAAGAUCACGCAUCGGGGCAUCGCCUCCCACAGGUGCUUGGGGUGGGAUUUCGCCACCACCGACAGGGGGUCUUGAGUCGGAAGAACCUAUAGACAGCCAAGAUCACCCACCUAUCACCAAGAGGGCCUAUGCUAGCAAAACCGACAUUGAAAAUACAGGAAAGAACCCAAUGACGUACCAGGCGCCUGGGAGCUCGCGCCAAUCUUGAGCCUCUUAGCAGUGGAGGGCUGAGCUUCCUCCAACUGCCUCUUUAGCCUAAAAAAGACAGGUGAGGCACAUAUCAGUAAGUGUGUAAGCUCAAGGAAUGAGAAAGGAAUAUAGCAGCAUCUAGAAAAUCUUACCGCACAGGGAGGGUGACCUUUCUUUCGGUCCCAUGGGCGACACCGACCGGCCUCGAGGCACCGCCACACAUGGUAGCCCUAAGCCAACGAUAGGUGCUGGUUCUGCUCACCCCUCGCGACGCUCCUCAGGGCUGGAACUCCUCUGGCACCCUCCGCCUUGGCUCGAGGUAGCCGCAGUAGCACGGCCUCGAGUCAGUGGCCUCAUCGAGGAGGCCUUAACUCGAUGGCCAGGCCCAAAGGUCUUGGGCGAACGUGGGGCAGGUCGGCCCGGCCCUGAGCAGUGGCAGGAGGCGCGUCGCCACAGGGGUGACGGUGUGACGUUUCCUCUUGGCGGCCUCCUUGCUCUUCUCCUUGCGGCUCCUCGGGGGCUCCCUCCUGCAUCUACAGAAUGUCAGCUCAAGGAGGAGGUGGUCGAGACGUGCCCCCAUUCCUUCUACGUCAUUGUUGUCAUCUUCAUCAUCCUCCUCAUCGUCUUUGUCGGGGGAGUCUUCCUCGGGCCUCCCCUCAUGCCUCACCUUGGCCCGCUGCUGCUCGAGCGCCUAACGGGCGAUGUUUUUCUUCUUCUCUUUCUUCUUUUUUUGCGUCGAGCUCGGUCUUAAGCUUCUAAGUAGAAGAGCGCCUCACCUCGCGGUCCAUCUCGUCUUCUUUCACUGGGGGCCUGGAUGACCUAGCGUCGAUCUCCCCCUGCAAAGGAAAGGUUAGGUGUCAGAAAGGCCACACUAGGACUGCCAAAACUAAACAGAGACAACUAGGUUCGAGAAGCACAACUCAAGGGGCUUAUGAAGUCUAAACAACCCUCGCCGGGCUUCGUAGGGAACGUAUUCACGCUCUCAGCCUGGAAAUCACCGGAGACAGCCGCCCUGACUCUAGUGACCACCUCCUCAUCUCGAAGCGCCUCCCGCAACAUCCGACACGCCUCGAGGUCUCGAGACGGAGCGUGUGGACCCAUCUCAUCCACUCUUAGUGGUCAAGACAUCCACGGGAGUACCCAUCGAUGAUGGACCGCUGAGAGGACGAGCGCUGCCAUUAGACCCUCCUCACACAGAUGCUUCAGGGCAUCGAGGAGAGGGCACAGCCAGACUGGCGAUCCUUGACCACGCCAUAAUUCCAGUUGUCGGGGCGCGCCGUGAUGAGCCGCCCGGUGUAGGAGGGGAAGAGGCCAUCAUUGUUCCGCAGAUAGAACCACUAAGAGUCCCACUGGGCAUGAUUCGACAUCAGCCUAGUGGGGAUGAACUCUCGAGGCUCAUCGAUGCGUCCUGUCUUCUGCACCAGGUUGAGGCAGCCGGCCCGCACUGGUUUCCUCACCCCAACGGUUCCACUAGGGGCGUGGAAUAGCUCGCCCCAGAAGAGGUGGAGCCAUAACUCCUAGUGCGGCAUCACCCCCAGGUAGCCCUCACACACUACGGUGAAGAUCGCCGCAUUGGAGAUGGUGUUGGGGGAGAGGUGCUGGAGCUCAGCCUCGUAGUGGUGGAGAAGCGCCCUCAUGAAGCGGCUCGAGGGAGAUCUGAGCCCGUGGCAAUUGAACUUGAUGAAGGAAACCACGUAGCCCUUAGGCGGGCUCGGCUCCCAGUGUUCCAACAGCGACGCGAUCCACUCCGGCCGCGUCAAGGAGAUAACAGGAUGAAGAAGCCCCUCGCCCACGAGAUCCUGCAGCCGGUGCUCCGUCAUGAUCGAUGGGCGCCAGUCGUCGGCGGCGAUCAGCUUCAUCGGCAUGACCAGUGAGGGAUGCGGCAUGAAGAAGACGGUCGGAAAGGCUUUUCCAUAGCUAUCUCUCUUUUCCUCUCUCGCUGGCUCUGUUCUUCUCUUGCACGUAGGAAAGUGUGGGAAGGAAGGAAAGCAGAAGCAGCAACGAAAGACGGAAGGGGGAGCAACGAGACGGCCCCCUCGAAUAUAUAGACAUGCUGCAACGGGCAGAUCCAAUAAUCAUGGCAACGCCCUACCUUAAAUGCGCCGCCUAACGGUCCUGAGUUUCCAGCGACAGGAUGUUGCGGUUUCCGCCCAGGAAGGAUAACAUUGCAACGACUCCCUCCUAAGAAGGCGCACCCAACGGGCAAGAACACAAACCGCCGCAGCGACUCCUUCUGCCGCAAGGUAAGCCCGGCCCCGGUCGUCAAUGAAACCUCGAGAGAGCGCAGACUGGCCCGCCGACAGGGUUCAACAGUUGCUCUCGAGUACCCGAGUUAGGUACACCCAGAAGGAGGUCGAAACGAGGCAAGGCUCGAAAGCAGAUCCUCAAGAUUAGUAGAUAGACGAGGAAUACCCACGGACGGAGGCAUCGAGCCACUGGACCCUAUCGAAUGGGACCAGUAUCCUCGCCCGUACUAGUCUAGCUUUAAUGAGACCGCCCCCGGGUUAUAACCAACCCUCAUCAAACGGAGCAUGGGUUCUCGCUUGGAUUUCCCAAUAACAGAUCACCAAGGACAUUGACGCUCGCCCCAUCGAGGGUACGUCACGCUCCUCACCCCGUGACCGAACAAAAGGAAUCAGCAAACGUAAGCCAACAUUAGCAAAACCACAAGCGAACGAGGCUCGGGGGCUCUGCAAAGAUUUGACACCCCUCAAUGGAAAGAAGGUCGAAAACAAGUAGACCCAAGGCUAAUAUAGCCCUCGAAGGAGUCCACUGACUCCUCCGAGGCCUCGGGGGCUACCUCGUGGGGGUCGCUCGUGCCCCUCCCCCCCACAGAAAUUCGAUCAUUAAUAAACCCCUACUCGAUCACCAAUGCUCGAGCAGAGGCUCGAGGGCUACUGUCGAGGAUGUCAAUAAGGGGUGCCUAAACAAGACAGCCCUGACAAAGGAUGAAAAGCUAACCUGAGAGUUAGACUCGACACCCCCUCCACAAGAGUGCGCUGAUCGGUGCCCUAACUCGACCCACAACAUGGGCAUUAAUCGAUCCUAGUCUCGGUUACAGAAACGGGGUCGAGCGAACAACUUAAGGCUUAAAACCAGACAAUCUUGACUAUGAAAUUACUGUCGAGCGAAUCGACUAGCCUCGAGUGCAAGGAUGCGCCCGUGCCACUUGCUGGUGGUACGGGAUUCAGGGUAUUUAAUGCGACUGACAGGUUCCCACCUAACCCAGCGGGCACGGUAAACGUGAUGAUGGGUCAUGCACCCAUCAAAUCCUACUUUUGCCUAGCUUUAUCCCCAAAUUUGGAGAAAGGUACAUACAAAUACUAACGCAACAGGCGUAAUGUCCCAUUAGGAAGCCCCUCGAGACGUAAUGGUUAGCGCUCUUGUAUACGGACGCUGUCUAAACCGCCAGACCCUCGAGCCCGCAUGCUCCUUUCCAGAGAAGGAUUGAGCGACGGAAGUCAGCGCUCAAACCACUCCCAACAUGACGCCAGCUAUGACGUACAAGCAUGCAUAUUCACGGACCAAUACCGAGCCAUACAGGGGAUAAGCUCGGGAGGUGCACGUGCCAUCAUCACCAAGUACACUACAACAAGACAGGUCGAUGCCACGCCUGUAUGGAAUCCUCGAGUGGACUCACGCCAUACCCCUAUCGAGGCCUACUCUAGUACCUACAUCCUGUAACCUUGAACCUCCCCUUGGUCUAUAAAAGGGGACGUCGAGGCCAAGCAAGAGAGAGAACACAGCUUGCACACAUCACUCCACUCCUCUAGAACAUAGAACCUGCCUCAGAACUUUCUUGUAUUCACCCCUGUACAAGCACUUAGGUGUAAGAUAAUACAAACUCUCUCCCCCCGCUGGACGUAGGGCCUUCUCUUGCCCGAACCAGGAUAAACUCUCGUGUUCAUCUUGCAUCGCCAUCUGGAAAGGAAGACAUGCACACAAAUUGACUCAUUGGUGUUACCCCCUGGGGUUAAAACACCGACACAUCGAUCCAUAUGUGAUCUAAAGAUAGAGAAUCACUUGGAGGCAUAUGACACAAAUGUGGGCCCAGUCUAGAUUGGUCGACCCUACCUAGGGUUGCCUGACCUCUGAGGGAUGGCCCAUCUAGCCCCACUUUGCUUUAUUAUUUGCAUUUAGCUUACACUUGCAUAGAAAUACUCCAUGGACAUGUGGAACUAGUUAUUAGAUAAAAUAUGCUCCUGAUAUCUUAUCUCCUUUGUUCCAAGUUUGUUGAUGGUGAUUCAUUUUUUUAGUAUAGAAAAAUAUGGCAUUUUCACUAUCAACAAUGACCGAUAUGCAAACAACUUUGUCCAUCUUGAUAGUAUGGCCAUCAAACCUUUUGUAAUCAACACAAGUCUUUACAUGGAUUAAUCUCCCAUGAAAUAAUAUGCUCCACUUCAUGUCAUCACAUGGCCUCAUUGGUUUAUCGAUCUUAGCGUCAACACUGUGCCUAGUCCAUUAGUGCCAAGCCCUUCGCUCUAGCUUCACCGCCUCGAGAGUCCAUCACUCUCGAGCCUUAGCUUUCCCUUCACACUAGCAACUUGGUCCUUUGUAACCAAGCCUUGUCUCUUGAUCUUCUCCACCUAGCCACAUGACAUCAUGUCAUGUCUCAUAUGCAAUGAGCUCCUUCAUCUCACUAGUUGAUAAAAGGCAACAUGUCCAAGCUACCUCUCCACCAUGGCUCUAUGUAUUGCUCACACUAGUGUAUAUAUGGACUAAACACAUGAGUAUCUCAUGUCAAACACAUUAGUCCACCUAAGAUUGUCAUUCAAUUACCAAAAUCAAAUAGAACCUUUAAUCUCCCCCUUUGGUAAUGUAACUCUAUAAAGAUGUGGAAAUUAAGCAUUCAAAGCUUGCACUUCACGCAAGUGUAAACUACUAACUUGGUUUAGACUUUGAGCUACUUAUUCAACAUUAUGGCCACUUAUUAUGUUUUGGAUAAGCACCACAAAACCCAACUUGGUAGUGGUAACUCCCCCCUACAUGUGUGCUCAAAUGGUUUGGCUUCAAGUUUCCACACAUGCAUAAAUACGAAAUUUAUGGGAGUGUUACCACUACUAAGUGAUGCUAAGGUAUACAAGAUAGAAAUGUACCUUUGUAGUGUGUAUACCACAUUGAAAUCAUCCUUAGCAUCAACACCUUGCUAGACACAAGUGAAGCUAGAUACCACAUAAGAUCAUCAUUAUAAACAAGGCUCUAGUUACCACUUGCUAACAAGACUUAGUUUUGCAUACCACUAAUUAGAUCAAAAAUCAUCUAAGUCUUAGUCUAGCAAACACUUGCACAUAAGCAUGAUACCACAUGAUAAACUACUAAGCAAAUGAAAUGCACAAUUCAAAUGUGUCAAACAUUUAAUUUAUGAGUUUGCUCCCCCCUACUUGUGUGUUUUCUCUUAUUCAAGAAUUUUGAUCCUCAUUCUAUUCUUCAAUCUUGCUUAUGUUGGUGAAACAUAUACCCCGAUUGCAAGAUUGUGCUCUUAAUACCACUUGUUAACUUAAACUUAAUAUAUCCAUACCUCCCCCUUAGUCCAUAACCCAAGUACUAACCUUAAUGAUAAGUGUGUGAUAUAAGGUUGGUACAUGCCAAGUGAUGGAGCAAGAGAUGAUCAUGGUGAUGAUGGUGAUGACCAUAAGAUGAUCAAGUGCUCAACUUGAAAAAUAAAAAAAAAGAUAAAAAUAAAACCCUUUGGAGAUCAAGGCAAAUGUAUUUCUUAGGAUUUUGGUUUUGGUGAUCAAGACACCAUAGAGGGUGUGAUCACAUUUAGGAUGGAUAGCCGUAUUAUAAAGAGGGGAAUUCUUUGGCUAAGCAGUUAUCGAGUGCCACUAGAUGACAUUGUUCAUGUGCAUGUAUUUAGAACCUAGUGUGCUAACUUAACCCUUAAAAAUAUUUGUGAAAAUAUGCUAACACACGUGCACAAGAUGAAACACUUGGUGGUUAGCACGUUUGAGCAUGGGUUGAAGAGGUAGAGAGGAGUUGGGUCUCUCUCUCCCUCUCGCCCAACUUGCAAGGUGGAUUUGGCGCUUUUGAGAAAAUAAAAUGCAUAUUUUCUAUUACACCAGAGGAAAGUUUCAGAGAAGUCAGGAAGCACUCAUCGGACGCUGGCCUGGCAUGUGACGAGUACUGACUGUUGUAGCGUGCAAGACAUGUGUGCGUCGGAGCGUCCGACGCUCUACCAUCGGACGUGCCGGUGCUCAGCAGGUGACGUCAGUUGUGCGUCUAUCAACGGUCCUUAAGUAUCAAAUUUAAUCAUCAAAUAAAUAAAGAAAAGGAUCCAAAUGCAACCAACACCCAGACUUUGGGUUUUAUCUCACAGAAUUCCACGAGUUUUGGUGUUUGUCUAUUUCUGUAGGGGGUUAUCAGGAAAUAUGGAGGAAAGGCCCACACGUCAUGUUUACAUAGAGAUAUUAAUGUGUGCGCCAAUUUUCUAUCAUCUAGAAGAGUCCAGAAGCCACGGGAACGAACGGGAGGCCGAGCGGACCCGGGGACAGGGCGCCCGCCCUCCCCCCUAGGGCGCCUGCCCUACUCUGGCAGACAAUCAGGCUCCGCCUCGUGGAUUAUGCUCCACCGACCUAAAGGAUGAAGGAAAACCAUGCGAUUAAGGUCGGUUUGAUCCGACAGCCCACGUUCAUUUGGAAGGGCUAUAUAAGCAGGCCCCUUGGCCCCUAGAGGAGGCACCUCUGCAUCCUUAUUCAUUAUUCAUAGACAGAGCAAGAGCUAGGGUUUGGAGAUGAGAGCUGUCCUCUCAUCUCUAAACUAGAGUAGAUCUAGAUAGUAGCGAGAUGGAGAGCGAGGGAGGAUUGGAGGAUAGGUUCUUCCUCUGGUUGUACUUCGCCAUGAUCAAGCUCUAAUCAAGCUUGCUCAUGGGAUGACUCUGGUAAUCUACUUCUAUUUCAUUAUGCAAUUACUAUCCAUGUAUGUUUUGGUUCAUAACUCUUUUAAGUACUUUAAUCUAUAGGACACUAUAGGUGAGAGUGGUAGUAUAUGUGUAAGCAUGGUGCUUAGACCUAGAUUACUUGUGGAUAUCCCGUGUUAGUCGGAUCACGUGGUAGGCCGCAUAGGUGACAGCUACGUAGUCCUCUGUAGUCCAUCUCCUGUUAGCAGGACUAGUAGGAGUCCUCGACCUUAGGUAUAACCAUCCUCUGUGUUGUUUUAUACUUUUGGUAUGUCAUAGACAGACAUACCCCUUUGAAGUAGAGAAACCCUAGUUAUCCUCUCUAUUCUCCUAUUAUCGCCCAUAUAUUAGAUUGCUCUACUCUAUAUUCCCCCAUUAUCAUUUUACCUUUAAUAUUGUUCUUAUUCAAUUCUACCAUCUUUCCUAUUUACACCUAUCUAUCUAUCUUGGUUAAGUUAGAGCGUAGUUGGUUCUCCCGUUUCCAUGUGGAUACGAUAAAACCUUUAACCGGGUAAAAGCUACAACGGUAUCCGUGCACUUGCGAAUUUAUCUGUGUGUAUAUAAAUACCAUAGUACACUCUAGUGCCAUGCUAGGGAUGACAACCUAGUAUUCAAGUGGUGUUAGCAAGUGUCAACAAGCUUUUUGGCGCCGUUGCCGGGGAGACGGUUGCUGAGUUGACUACGAACUAGCUUAAUCAUUUUUUCUAAAAAUUAAAAAAUAUAUAUAUAUAUUUUUCCUUUUAUCCUCUGCCUCAUCUCUGCUAUUCUUUCUUCUUAUCUUAUUCUUGGCUAUCAUGAAUGCAAACAUGUCUAUCUAUCAGUUUCAUAGACCUACGGGCACACAUCUCGAACCACCAAAAUCUUCAAAGCCUAUCAUGACAUCUAGUUUUGAGAUAAUCCCGGAAUACAUAGAAUUUGUUCAAAAACAACCUUUCUCAGGAGAAGGUGAGAAAAACCCAUACACACACCUAAGAGAGUUUUAUCGAGUCUGUGACCUCCUUCGCAUUGAAGGCAUGUCCGAUGAGACCCUUAAAUGGAAGCUCUUUCCGUUCUCUUUAAUGGGAAAAGCUAGACAUUGGUAUAAACUCAACAUAGGAAGUGCUCAUGGAGAUUGGAAGGAGCUAUACAAUAGUUUUAUUUUUAAAUAUUUUCUGAUCUCCAAAGUGGUGGAUCUUCGGAUCGAGAUUCUUUCUUUUAGACAACUAGAAGAAGAAUCUCUUGGCGAAUCAUGGGAUCGCUUUAUUGAACUUACUCUCACUGGCCCAAAUCUUUCUAUUCCAGAAGAAGUUCGUCUAAUUCACUUUUUUAUGGGCCUUAGUAGGGAAAAUAAGCAAACCCUUAAUGAGGCCUCUAGAGGAUCUUUCCACCGCCUGUCCUCUAGUGAAGCUUGGAAUUUGAUUGAUUUAAUCAGUGGAAAGUCUCGUAGCAUUUAUAUUCCUGAGAAAGAGAAAGAAUCAGUUCCUAGACAAGAAGAGGAAGUUUCAAUAGCCAAAUUACAACCACUUCAAUCCCAAACUUUAUCUAUCGAUCCUAAACCAUCAAUACCCCAAAAUUCUCCAAGGGAGGAAGGAUUUCUGACCUUAAAUCUUUCAGAUCCUGAUGGUUUAGACUUCUGGUUCCAUAAGAGACCUUCAAGUAGGGAUAAUUCAAAUCCUUGCAAUAAUGGUUCUCUUAGAGAAUGUCCUGGUUCUUGUUAUGAAGAAGUCGAGGAUGACAUUUCAAGUGAAGGAGAGCUAAACCAUAUAGAAUAUUCUAUCUUCUCCCCUUCCAUGUUCACAAAUUCUAAAUCCAUCCUUGACCUUAGAGACCCCUCUUAUCCCUCUCCUUUUCAGUCUCAUGAUGAUCCUAGCAAUCCAUCAAGACGAUCAAACCAUAGGAGUCAUAAAGACCAUGAGGUUGACAUGUCAAGUAAUGUCAUAGAAGGAGAGCUAAGCCAUAUAGAAAAUUCUAACACCUCCCCUUUCCUGAUUAGAAGUUCUAAAUGGCUAGAAUGUGUAGAAUGGAUGGACAAGGAAGAAGCCUUAAUGGAUUCUGACUUUGGCUCAAUUUCAAAUGGUGAGUUUUUGACUCCCUUUGAAGAUGAGAUUCAUCCAACUACAGAAGAGGACAUAGGCGAGACCAAUCUAGGAGAAACUCCAAACAUUCAGAUUGGAGAUGAAGAUAACAUUAAUGAGCAUGGAAUUUAUUUCAUAGCCACUUCGUUUACAACAUGCUCAUAUGCAACAUCUUCCCAAUCUAUUGGUCUCUCUAGCAUCACCACAUUCGAGAUCUCCAACCCCCUCUUCCUUUCUAUUUAUAAAAACUUUAAAAGGGCGGUUGUCGAUGCAUAUGUCUAUAAUAAAUAUUACAGAUCUUGUUGAGUUGAUCUUGAUAUAGGUCAGCGUUGGAGGGGAAACCACUUCGCCGACAUAAAUUGAUGGUUUCCCAAGGACAAGCUUAGUGUCCCAAAAUAAGCACUCGUCAGAUCGUAACAUGAGCUUUUAAUUAUUUGCAACAUUACCUUGUAUAUUGAGCAUAUAAAGAUAAUUGUAAAAAUAUUCCUUUGGGUAUUCUUGUCACUAACCUUUCCAAGAUUGGAGCAAGAAGAUCGGAUGAAUGACAAGCACAAGGUAUAUCCAACCAAUCAUCAUACAACAUUGAAUUAAAUUCAUCCAAACUUGAAUUUUGCAAAAUUCAGGCUUGGGGGAGUACUUUACAUAAAAACAUUUUUUGCCAUGUUGCUAUGUUGGUUGUCCCUACAUUUGAGACAUUCUCAAUUUGUUAAAUACUAAUCACACUACUUCAUCUCCACUUGAGUAGAUCUCUAUAAAUGCUCUCAUGCUACCUUUAUUUGCUUUAGUAUAUGUCUAUGUUUGAAGUAGUUUCAUUUAUCUCUUAAAUAAGCAUGGUGCUUAGUUUAGGAAUGAUGAUCUUACUUCCAAGGGAUUUUAAAUUAAGCAUGGUGCUUAGGUUAAAAUGUCCUCCUAAAUCAAAUUAGACAUGGUGUCUAGGUUGAUUUUUGAGCCGAUAGUAUGCUAUAGUAGAUAUUGGAUAUUUUGUUGGACUAACCCCUGCAGGAAAACUUUCAAUAUCGACCUGAAAAGUCCUGAGAUAAACUCACAUUGGAGACAAAGAGAGAGACACAUGAAGUUUAACAAUUUAUACAAGGAAGACAUAGCUCAUAAUAGAUGAUCCAUAGAGGGUGCCACAAACACGAUGCACAACCGCUAAGAAAAGAAAGCUUCCACAAGGUGAUAUUGUACCAUCACUCUUCAAGUAAGGUAACAUCUUAAGGUACUUGACUAUCACUUUUAUAAAAGAGACAAACAUGUAUGAUUUACAACUCUAGAUUAACCAACCCAAUCGAUUCAACAUGUUUAGUCCUUCCACCUUUGUGAUCCCACACUCCUAAUCAUAUGAGCUAAAAUGUUGCACACUCAAUCGUUGGAAGAUAUAUAAAAAACAUAAAUAUAGAUAGAUUAUCUUUCCAUUAGGUUGAGCGAUCUGAUCUGACAAAUGUUUUAAAUGCUACACUCAUGAUCAUAUUAUCUAUCAACUUUGUCUUGCUCACUAUGCUUAAGGUUAGAGAAGAACAAAUACACUUUUGGUUCUGUUGGUGUUUUCCACCAACAGGGCCCAUGCACUUGAUCUCUGCCUUGUCUCUAUGAGCAGGUACACUUGGAGCAAAACAUGGAGGAGUUUUUACAACUCCCAGACUCCAUCAAGUGAAGGACCUGGAUCUACGAGCACAAACACACUAAGUAGGAUGCUGCCAACGCCGCACUUCGAACUGCUGGGCAAACGAAGAACAUGGGUGACACUGUAUCAAGAGGUGUAGACGUCAAGGUCCACACCUGAAUCAAAUGACGCACCUAAAGAAUAAACACGGUGAGAAGUCUUGUUCAGAAGACUUAAAACAUUGAACCCUCACCGAAAGGUAAAAUCGGUAGUUAUCCAUAUUUAUCCUUUCUGCAUUCCCUUUUACCUUAAAUUAUUUACUUUCCUUAAAUAGAUUGUUAGUUAAUCAUGCUAUCUUGAAAAGAAAUUAAAAAUGCUAAAAAUAGUAAGCCCCAUGUGAAAAUGCUCAUGGCAUAAAACCCAUAAGUACAUUCACUGUGGUGGCGUAAAAAUAAAAAUAUUCUUAUCCUAUAAAAAUGAAAAUAUAAAAAUAAAUUUAUGAUCCUACCAAAGAGAGUAAUAUUUAUUAGAGGAAGCUCAACAUAAUAACGGCUAAGAGAUUUUAUGCUAACACUUAACCAGUUCCACAAAGCUUUGUUGUCUAUUUGAGCUCCACAGAAUUCAAGGAUCAAAGAGACUAAGCAGACGGAGGACAUCCUAAUCGCUGUGAGGGUGCUGCCGACAUUCAAAUACACCUCCACCACCUGCUAGUUAUAUCAGAAGAAAUUACGUCAAAAUCCAGCUUGGGGGAGAGCACCCCCAUUUAUCCAGCUAAGUGUUUCUACUCGCGUUUAUACUUUACUCAAAUAAUAAAAAGAUGCAUAAUCAUAAAAACCAAAAUAAAGAUUUUGUGCUUUUAUAUAUAUAUAUAUAUCUUUGAUUAGUUUGCUAAAUAAAUAAAUAAAUAAAGUUUGCUAUGAACCCUCAUGAUAAGCUCUCACAUGGAAAUGAUGAAUAGUUGCUCUGCCAUGACUAGUUCUCAAAAUUGAAAUCUCUCUCAAGUUUAGGCAUGACUGUUAUGAAUUAAGAUUUGCUCUAAACUUGAACUUGUGGGAAGAGUACUUUAUCUAAAGUCUAAGUCUUUAACGGAUACGAUAUGGGAAGGUUGAGCUGCUGUUUAUCUGUUCCUAGAGAUGCUAGAAUUCUAGAGAAUUUUAUCUUUGAAAAUCUUUAAAAUGUUGCAUAAUGAGUUCCUGUAUGAUGGGAGUUUAAAAUCCUACCACAGCCAUAUAUACAUGCUUAUUAUUAGAUUAUUUACUUUUUACUACUUAUGAGCAUUGAGUGUGGUCAAGCUGUGUAGACCCUUAGGAGAUUGUCAUGCGGUUAAAAUCAAGAUUCACUUGUAGGUUCACUCACACAUGCUGCUUCUACUAUGGAAGUACGCAUCCAUAUACAUCCACUCAUUUCCAUCUCCAGAUUCACCCAAAAUUAUUCUAC